rnacentral:lncRNA from 1 species
GUUAUUUUGGAGGUGGUGGAAAUGGUUAUUUUGGAGGUGGUGUAACUGGUUAUUUUGGAGGUGGUGGAAAUGGUUAUUUUGGAGGUGGUGUAACUGGUUAUUUUGGAGGUGGUGGAGCUGGUUAUUUUGGAAGUGGUGGAACUGGUUAUUUUGGAGGUGGUGGAACUGGUUAUUUUGGAGAUGAUGGAACUGGUUAUUUUGGAGGUGGUGGAACUGGUUAUUUUGAAGGUGGUGGAGCUGGUUAUUUUGGAAAUGGUGGAGCUGGUUAUUUUGGCGGUGGUGGAACUGGUUAUUUUGGCGGUGGUGGAACUGGUUAUUUUGGCGGUGGUGUAACUGGUUAUUUUGGCAGUGGUGGAACUGGUUAUUUUGGAGGUGGUGGAACUGGUUAUUUUGGAGGUGGUGGAACUGGUUAUUUUGGAGGUGGUGGAACUGGUUAUUUUGGAGGUGGUGGAACUGGUUAUUUUGGAGGUGGUGGAACUGGUUAUUUUGGAGGUGGCGGCAGUAAAGAAAUUCCACCACCGUGAAAUGAUGAUCUCUUAAAAAGUAUUUUGUCAUAUAUGUAUGUUUUCCUAAAUACAAGAGGUGGCUCAACUUACCCCACUUUCACAUAAAGACAAAAUACAUUGGGAAAGGGUUAUUUAAAAACA